UAAGGUGGAAGGCUACAUCGUCAAAACAUGUCUGACUUCCGUUCGAAACGCCAUUGUGUUCCGGAUUGAUAACAUUAUGUCGUGGUACAAAAUAGCUAUACACCGUUUAAUUGAACUCUUCUAACAAAGGAGGUGAGAUAGGAAUGAAAUCACCAAAACGCUUAGAAAAUAUGUCAAUUUUCUUCCUGUUUAAAGCUUUUAACUAACAUUGAUUAUCAGCUGUUUUGUACGGAAAACGUGGAAUCUAAAUAAUAUACCGUUUCCCUGCUCUGCUGCUAUUGGCAACACAUUUUUGUCAUGUCAUCUGCAACAGACGAUCAUACAUAUGUGGCGGAUUAUCGAUAUAGAUACAACUAGGUAGCAAUAGCAGUGGAAGCCCGGAUUUGCAAGCCAAAUGAGGGAAAGACAGAAUUCUGAAAAGGGGCAUGUUUUUCAUUUCCACAUGUACACAUGCAUGUGUAUCACUAUGGACAUCUAAUGUUUUUGUGGGACUUUGUCCAGCAGUUUGCCUUAAAAGAAUUUUUUUAUAUUUUAGUUUCAUAUUUAUGUGGAUUCCAAUAAAAAUCAUACAAACUUCAUUCAUGAUUUUUUU